rnacentral:misc_RNA from 1 species
GCUUUGGCUGUUGUAUUUGUGGUGAUCACUGCUGGAAUAGUCAUUGUUAAGGUCAUUAAUGGAAGCAUUGGGAUGCCCCGCUUACUGCCUAAACUUAUUGAUCAAGCGUCUUUCUGGAAGCUUUUCACAACUGUUCCAGUACUUGUUACUGCCUAUAUUUGCCAUCACAAUAUACAUCCAAUAGAGAAUGAGCUAAGAGAUGGCAGCCAGAUGAAGUCAAUAGUCCGUACUUCAAUUGUGU